AUGGCGGAGGGGAAGAACUUGUUCGAGGAUCUUUCACUGUUCCGGAUCCUGUGCCUCCGCGGCGCUGGAGCGACCUCGCAGUCCGUUCGCCAGGACACGCCGGCUCUCUCCAAAUCUCCCGGCGAGAGCGUGGAGCUGAAAUGCAUCCUGGACGGCGGUAGCGCUGGCAAUUAUCUCUACUGGUACCGACAAUAUCCCGGAAAGGAGAUUCAGAACCUGUUUUAUUCCGGGGCUAUCAAAGUAGUAAUUCCGGAGGGGUCUGUGAACGGCUUCACCGCCCGGAGACCCGUUGCAGAGACGUUCAUUCUCAGCUCGGCCAGCGUGCGCCCGGACCAGUCGGCCGUCUACUACUGCGCCUGGAGUCCUCACAGUGGCUCAGAGACACGCCGGGGCCCGACAAAAACCUUCGCCCGACAGGAAGCAGCUGAUCUGUGA